CCUACGGGAGGCAGCAGUGGGGAAUAUUGCACAAUGGGGGAAACCCUGAUGCAGCGACGCCGCGUGAGUGAAGAAGGAAUUCGUUAUGUAAAGCUCUAUCAGCAGGGAAGAAAAUGACGGUACCUGAGUAAGAAGCACCGGCUAACUAGGUGCCAGCAGCCGCGGUAAUACGUAGGGGGCAAGCGUUAUCCGGAUUUACUGGGUGUAAGGGGGGAGUAGACGGCAGUGCAAGUCUGGAGUGAAAGGCGGGGGCUAAACCCCCGGACUGCUCUGGUAACUGUACGGGUGAGUGUGUGAGAGGAUAGUGGAAUUCCAGGUGUAGGAGUGAAAUCCGUAGAUAUCUGGCGGAACAUCAGUGGCGAAGGCGACUAUCUGGCACAUAACUGACGUUGAGGAGUGAAAGCGUGGGUAGCAAACAGGAUUAGAUACCCUGGUAGUC
rnacentral:rRNA from 1 species